rnacentral:rRNA from 1 species
AUUGAUCCCUGGCGGCAGGCCUAACACAUGCAAGCCGAGCGAGCGGCGGACGGGUGAGUAAUUUAUGGUGACUGCCCGACAGAGGGGGAUAACUACUGGUAACGGUUGCUAAUACCGCAUUCUAUCGGAUAACCCAUAUGGGAUUAGCUAUUAGGUUGGGUAAAGGCUCACCUAGGCGACGAUCUCUAGCUGGUCUGCAAGGAUGAUCAGUCACACUGGGACUGAGACACGGCCCAGACUCGGACGGAGGAAGCAGUGGGGAAUAUUGCACAAGGGGCGCAAGCCUGAUGCAGACAGGCCGCUUGUAUGAAGAAGGCCUUAGGGUUGUAAAGUACGUUCAGAGGGGAGGCGUUACCCGCAGAAGAAGAACCGGCUAACUCAGUGCCAGCAGCCGCGGUAAUUC